CGAAGGAUGCACCGGGAGAUGGAUGAAUGACGGCCAAGAAGGCUCCUGCUGGCUCUGAAUGACCACUACCCCUUUCCAGGAUUUACCGCCGCGGACAGCCGCCGGCUCGCGGACAGCCAUUUGCACCACGCUCCGCCCCACAGGUUGCCAUGGAGAGCAGAUGACACAGGAAGGCCUAGUCUUUCAGAGGCCACCACAAGAGGGAAUGACAUGUUACAGAUAUCUUGGGAGUGUAACAUGCUACCACCAGCUGGGGAUCAUCCUGAAGAUGUGGCCAAGUCUCCUAGUGGCAGAAAUGCUAACCCCUCACCAUUGUCCACACCAUACCAACAGACAGUGAGCUAAGAGAGUCUUUUAACAUGAAGAAACCCAGUUUUCUUUCCUCCUCCUGCCCUGGAGAGAGAAGUCACCAGGAAGAGUUCUUUAAGGUGUAAUUCAAUGGGACAUAUUCAGGAACUGUAAGAAUCCCCGCAUUGGCUCCCUGGUCUACUGAUUGAGAACUAUUAUAAACAGGAAAUUCAAGUAGAAGACUUUGGAAUGUUCCUCCCCUACCAGGAUUUAAACCAAAAGCAUACCUGGAGGAAUUUCAGAGUCAGCGCCACCACCAAAGAUUUUAAGGAUACAAGGAUGUAGAUUCUGUUGCAUGUCCGUUUGCCUUCACUGUUUGACUUGCACAGGAGGUUGAAAGUUGGAAAAUGAGAGUUGAUUAUCCUUAAUCAGGUGAGGAUGCCAAUUGCAGUUACUUUUACAAAUGUAAUGUCUUUCCUGGAGCAAAUCUUUGUACACAGCUAUUGAUGUAGCUGAUGAUAUUUUCUCUGUAUCAGUUUGCAGGGUCUCCUGAAGCAGUUUUGCUUUCACUUAGCAGAGAUAAUUAUACAUCUUCACUUGCCUUGGGGACAUGCCCAUGCUCCUGCACUUUACCAUGACCUAAUCAGCAGAAAUCUCGGUUGUCUUGCAUCUGACAGAAAAUCAAGUUAGUCUACUACAUUGAUGAUAUAAUGAUGACUGGCUCCAAUGAGUAGGAAGUAGCAGGAAUCUUAGACAUCUUAUUAAGAUAUGUGUGUGCUGAAGGUGGGAGAUAACAGCCACACAAUUUCAGGGGUUUACCCCAAAGACGUUUUUGGAGGUCCAUGAGUCUAAAGCAUGAUGAGAUAUCUCUUCUAAAGGAAUUGACACACUACUCUAUCUUGCACUACCUACCAUUAAAAAAAGAGGCAAAAUGCUUGAUUUGCCUCUUGGAGGAAAUAUAUGCUGCAUCUGAGUGUGUUCCAGCUUGUUUACAGAAUAUCCUGUCACUUUUGAGGGGGCUUCCAACAAGAAAGUUUCUGCAGUAAGCCUAAGUUGCAGUGCAAGCUGCUUUGCCACUUGGUCCUAUGACGCAGAUGUAGUAGAAAGACCUAUGGCACAAUGUAAAUGGGGUCUCUGGAAAACCCUUAAAGGGACAGAUCUCUACAAUUUAGGAGCAACAUCAUGCUUCAUUCUCUGGUUGAGAACCAGCUCCUACUGGGUUCUGGUAGAGCUAGGAUGUUUAACCACGGGACAUCAAGUGGCUAUGUAGCCUGAGUUCCUCAUCAUAAACUAGGAAUUUUCUGGCUCAUUAAGCCAUAAAGCUGAGCAUGUGCAGCAGCAAUUUAUAAUUACAUAGAAACUGUAUAAUAGAGAUCUAGAUUCAUGCAUAAGUUAAUUACAUAACUAGUUGUCUCAGGCUCAUAUAAUGCUUAAUCCGGGUUCACUGAUUCUUCUCCCCCUGUUUAAUACCUAUACUUUAUUGGUGAAUUCCUUAUUACCAAUCAGCUGAGGAAGAAAAACUCAAAUCUAAUGAUUCUUCACAAGAUACUGGCACCAACAGGAAGCGUUGCAACCUUAGUUAAAAGUAUUCCUGAAAGAUAUUACUGAAGAAAAAUCUCCUCACUUAGCGGAGCUUCAAGUGGUCCAUUUCACUGACAAUUCUUUCAAUGUGAAAUACCUAGAGGUGAGAAUCUACAUUAAGUUUUGGCAGAGGUUAAUGAGUUGGCCACUUGGUCAGGGACUUGGAAAGAACAAGAUUAGAGUGAAAGGGAGAUCUAGGGAAGAGAUAUGAACCUCUUUGAAAGGGCACGGUGUGUAAGGGCACAUUUGUGUCCCAUGUCAGUGUUCACCAAAGGGCAUCUACAAUAAAGUAAUUAAAUAGAUAUGAUCUGAAGAAGUCAGCCAGCCUCUUUUUCCAGCGAACCUGGUGCUCGCUGCUUGCUCCGUAUUCAAAGCGGCCAUGAUGGCAGCAGUGGGCUCAACAUAUAGACUUCCUUCUUACCAAGAAUGAUGCAGCUGAUUGUCUAACCUACCAACAGCCUAGACCAACAAUAUGACCAUAAUAUGAAGUGGCUAGGAAUUUGUUCUCAUUGGAAUAUUCACUUAAGGAUAUGGAUUUACCUUUUCUGUUUACAAUGCUUCUGACAGUACCCCCUCCCUGGACUUAGGAAUUCUUUACUCACCACAAGAGUAUUCCACACAUCAUUUCUGACCAAACAGCUCACUUCACAGAAAAGAUGUAUAACAAUGGGCUCCUGCUCAUGUGAUUCACUGGUUGUACCAUGAACCCCAACACUCAGACACAGUGGGCCUGAGAGAAGAGUGGAAUGGCCUAAUGAAAACAGUUACAGUAUAAGUUGGAAGACGAUGCUUUGAAAGGUUGGAGUAUACCUUACAAAAUGUGGUUUUUUCCCUUCUUGAACCAGUGAUCACUAUAUAUACUAUUUUUUCCCACAGCCAGAUUACUCAGGCUUGGGAAUCAAGGGGUAGAAGUGGGAGCAUUCCUAGUAACACAAUCACAAAAUUUUUGCCUCCAAAUUUGAUAGGUUUCUGUCGGCAUAGAAGUCUUAGUUUCCAAGGGAAAAAUGUUUCCGCUGAAGAAUAUAAUUGACUUACAUCCUUGAGUUAUAAGUUGAGACUACCAUUGGCCAUUUUGGACUAACGCCACUCAAUUAACAGGUAAAGAAGGGGGUUAUUUUAUUGGCUGGGGUGAUCCCAAUUAUAUUAAGCAUUUGAGCUGCUAAGACAUGGAAGAGUUCUUGUUGUGUCUCAGUGGAAAUAAACCCGACUAGUAUCCAUGAGGACAUGGGUUUGAUCCCUGGCCCCUCUCAGUGGGUUAAGGAUCCAGUGUUGCUGUG